UGAAUCCAACAGAAGUCUGCUUUUUGGCUUUUUCCAAAAGGUAAAAGUGCAUUUAAUUCAAGACGCUGCUGCAACUUGUUCCAGGAGUCAGGAGCAGAGAAACAAAGAGCAGUUUUUCCCAGUUCUGACCGAACUCGGGGAACAUGAAGUAGCUGGUUUGAGGUGCAAGUCUGAUAAACGGUCUGGGUAAUGAAGAAGUUCAGUGAGAUAUCUUUAUUCACUGGACAAUCCAAGUGGACCAGACUCCAUUAUCUGUUGCUGCAGAUGUCUUGUAUUAACAUCUGCCAUUACAUUAUCAUAACAUCCCUUUAGUCUAUAACUGGUUGCUCUUUAUUAAAGAGAAGGAAAGCCACAAUACCCUUAGGAUCUGGA